rnacentral:tRNA from 1 species
CAUUAGAUGGCUGAAAGUAAGCAAUGGAAUUUUAAAUCAUUUUAUAGUAAAUAACGUCUACUUCUAAUGA